UAAUUGUUGAAUAUAAUAAUAUUAUCUUGCCUUAAAUUCUAAAAUUAAUUGGUGUCACUUAUGGCAGCAGCGUAGAACUUUCGAAUCGAUGGAAUAUGUGCUGCAAGCAAAUCCAGAACUAUGGAUGCACGCGCUGCUACAUCGAACACAAAUCAUUUACACACCAGAUAUUAGGUUUAAUGUCACUUUUUUACGUGCAAUUAAACCUUUUGCUCAACACAUGCCCGGGAAGAACUGAAGCGACAUGGCUUAGGUGCAUUUGUAACCGUUUAUUAUCGCGACAUGUGUAAACUGGGUUUUGCCAAUGAGCUAGAGGGCAAAGCAGUUGCAGUAUUUUUAGAAUUACCGGCCUCUCAGUUGGCCGUGCCAUUAGCAGCUAAAACACAGAAAUUAAAGGGAGGACUUUUUUGAUUAAUUUUCACCUUGUAUUGAGGAAUCAUAACGUUGUUGUAUCGCUUUACAGGGACAUGGAUUCGCCGAAAUUAGUUCAAUGAAAAUGCUACAGCAAGAGCAUGGAUGUUAAGACUAGAACGUUGCCAGUGCUAGAUUUAGAAUUCCUGAAACAUUAGAAAUCCAGAAAAUGGACGAAUCUAGUACUAAUGAAAUUAAUGGAAGAACAGAUCUUCCAAAUCUCCUAAAGAAACCAAAAUAGUCCUCACAUAAUGUGCGCAGCUUACACUUCCAAGCCGCUCGGGGUAUUUGACAUUUGAUAGUCUUCCUCCAGCCUUUGUCAGAUAGCAAAAAUUUUUCAAAUAUUCAAUACGUUUUACAUAUGUAUAUAGUGUAGUACGAUAAUACAUUUAUAAAGUAAAUUUAAUAAUAAACACCUAAAUGGCAUGAUAUUUUAAAUAAAUAUG